CACCGCGGUUAUACGAAAGACCCUAGUUGAUAGCUACGGCGUAAAGGGUGGUUAAGGAAUAUAAAAAUAAAGCUAAAGACCCUCUAAGCCGUCAUACGCACCACGAGGGCACGAAGCCCUAUACACGAAAGUAGCUUUAAGUAUAAUUUACCUGACUCCACGAAAGCUAAGAAA
rnacentral:rRNA from 1 species